rnacentral:rRNA from 1 species
GAUGAACGCUGACAGAAUGCUUAACACAUGCAAGUCGAUGGGGAAGUGGUGCUUGCACCAUGGCAACCAUGGCGGACGGGUGAGUAACGCGUAAGGGACUUACCUGCAGGACUGGGAUAACAGGGGGAAACUCCUGACAAGACCGGAUAAUGUCAUGGAGCUGCAUGGCUUUAUGAUGAAAGGAGACGCCUGCGGAGAGCCUUGCGUCCUAUUAGCUAGUUGGUGAGGUAAUGGCUCACCAAGGCGAAGAUAGGUAGCCGGCCUGAGAGGGUGGACGGCCACAAGGGGACUGAGAUACGGCCCUUACUCCUACGGGAGGCAGCAGUGGGGAAUAUUGGACAAUGGGGGCAACCCUGAUCCAGCAAUUCUGUGUGCACGAAGAAGGUUUUCGGAUUGUAAAGUGCUUUCAGCAGGGAAGAAGUAAGUGACGUUACCUGCAGAAGAAGCGACGGCUAAAUACGUG